rnacentral:rRNA from 1 species
UACGAGAGGUGCAAGCGUUAUUCGGAAUCAUUGGGCGUAAAGGGCGCGUAGACGGUAUGUUAAGUCUGUUGUUAAAUCCUUCGGCUCAACUGAAGAUCUGCAACGGAAACUGGCGUACUAGAGGGUGAAAGAGAGAAGUGGAAUUCUUGGAGUAGCGGUAAAAUGCGUAGAUCUCAAGAGGGACACCAAUGGCGAAGGCAGCUUCUUGGUUCACACCUGACGUUGAGGCGCGAAAGCGUGGGGAGCAAACAGG